AUUGAACGCUGGCGGCAUGCUUUCCACAUGCAAGUCGAACGGUAACAGGCCGCAAGGUGCUGACGAGUGGCGAACGGGUGAGUAAUGCAUCGGAACGUGCCCAGUCGUGGGGGAGAACGCAUCGAAAGGUGUGCUAAUACCGCAUACGAUCUAUGGAUGAAAGCGGGGGACCGUAAGGCCCCGCGCGAUUGGAGCGGCCGAUGUCAGAUUAGGUAGUUGGUGGGGUGAAGGCCUACGAAGCCGACGAUCUGUAGCUGGUCUGAGAGGACGACCAGACACACUGGGACUGAGACACGGCCCAGACUCCUACGGAAGGCAGCAGUGGGGAAUUUUGGACAAUGGGCGCAAGCCUGAUCCAGCAAUGCCGCGUGCAGGAAGAAGGCCUUCGGGUUGUAAACUGCUUUUGUACGGAACGAAACGAUCUGGGUUAAUACCCUGGGCUAAUGACGGUACCGUAAGAAUAAGCACCGGCUAACUCUGUGCCAGCAGCCGCGGUAACAC
rnacentral:rRNA from 1 species